rnacentral:rRNA from 2 species
UGCCUGGCGGCUUUAGCGCGGUGGUCCCACCUGACCCCAUGCCGAACUCAGAAGUGAAACGCCGUAGCGCCGAUGGUAGUGUGGGGCUUCCCCAUGUGAGAGUAGGACACUGCCAGGCAU